ensembl:lncRNA
UCAAUGACAGCAGAAUUUAUUUGUUCACAUUUGACAAAAACGAAAUACAUUCUGAAUUAACAUAAUACAAAUUGUGCAUAAUAACACACUAAGAGACAAAUUAUGGACAACACAGUGAUUGGAGACACUAAGCAUCCCAAAUUAGUCCACGGGCCAGAGGGACACAUUCACACACAAUUUUACAACUUUGCCAAAGUAUCACUGUGUUGUAUCAAAUUUGGGUUAUAUUUAAAUAAUGCUUUGUUUAUCUCAUGAUUCCCUUGAUGAUAACUACACUGCAUAUGAAUGAACGCCACACAAUAGAGUCGUCAUUGAUUUAUGAUUUUCAACGUGGAGGAACUGAAUUAAUUAUUCAAUGCCUUAUAGAUAUUGGUGUAAGACCAAAUGAACAUGUGUGUUACUGUGAGGAAAAUGCCAAAAAUUGCUCAGAUAUGUGUUAUUUAACUAGAAUAAUGGUAGAAAUAUAUAUUACCAUCAUUUUAACUAGGCAAGUCAGUUAAGAACAAAUUAUUAUUUUCAAUGACAGCCUAGGAACAGUGAGUUAACUGCCUGUUCAGGGGCAGAUUGACAGAUUUGUACCUUGUCAGCUCGGGGAUUCGAUCUUGCAACCUUUCGGUUACAAGUCCAACGCUCUAACCACUAGGCUACCUGCCACCCCUCCAAUCUAACCACUAGGCUACCUGCCGUCCCUCCACUCUAACCACUAGGCUACCUGCCUCCCCUCCACUCUAACCACUAGGCUACCUGACGCCCCAUACACUCUAACCACUAGGCCACCUGCCACCCCUCCACUCUAACCACUAGGCUACCUGCCGUCCCUACACUCUAACCACUAGGCUACCUGCCUCCCCUACACUCUAACCACUAGGCCACCCCUCCACACCACUAGGCUACCUGCCACCCCAUGCCAAAUAUGCCAAAAAAUGCUGUCUGGAAUUCCAGAGUUUUGUAGCCAUUUUCAAAUACUAUAUAUUACAUUUAAAAACUAUUUGAAAUGUUGUAGAAUCAUUCACAGAUGAUAUGCAUGUUAACAUUAAGACAUUCCCAGUACAGUGUACCCUAUAUGAAAUCACAUAGGAAUUCAUUAUUUCCAGCAAAACAGUACAGGGAAAUCCAUUUUCGCAAAAAUGCCUUCAUAAUGAGUGCACCAAAUGUUACAUAAAGUUAGGAACAGUCUAAACAAUGAAGCCUAGCUAUUACUAAUUUAAUCAUAAGGUACACAUUAUCCAAUAUGGCCGCCAACCAGCUCCAUCC